GACGAACGCUGGCGGCGUGCUUAACACAUGCAAGUCGAACGGAAAGGCCCUGCUUGCAGGGUGCUCGAGUGGCGAACGGGUGAGUAACACGUGGGUGAUCUGCCCCUUACUUUGGGAUAAGCCUGGGAAACUGGGUCUAAUACUGGAUAGGACCAUGCUGUAGGUGGUGUGGUGGAAAGAUUUUUUCGGUAAGGGAUGAGCUCGCGGCCUAUCAGCUUGUUGGUGGGGUAAUGGCCUACCAAGGCGUCGACGGGUAGCCGGCCUGAGAGGGUGGACGGCCACAGUGGGACUGAGAUACGGCCCAGACUCCUACGGGAGGCAGCAGGGGGGAAUAUUGCACAAGGGGCGCGAGCCGGAGGCAGCGACGCCGCGUGGGGGAUGACGGCCUUCGGGUUGUAAACUCCUUUCAGCCAUGACGAAGCCUCUUUGGGGGUGACGGUAGUGGUAGAAGAAGCACCGGCUAACUACGUG
rnacentral:rRNA from 1 species